rnacentral:rRNA from 1 species
ACUCCUACGGGGAGGCAGCAGUGGGGAAUAUUGCACAAUGGGGGAAACCCUGAUGCAGCCAUGCCGCGUGUGUGAAGAAGGCCUUGGUUGUAAAGCACUUCAGUAGGGAGGAAGGUAGUGUAGUUAACACCUGCACUAUUUGACGUUACCUACAGAAGAAGCACCGGCUAACUCCGUGCCAGCAGCCGCGGUAAUACGGAGGGGUGCGAGCGUUAAUCGGAAUUACUGGGCGUAAAGCGCAUGCAGGCGGCCUGUUAAGUCAGAUGUGAAAGCCCGGGGGCUUAACCUCGGAAUUGCAUUUGAAACUGGCAGGCUAGAGUCUUGUAGAGGGGGUAGGAAUUUCAGGUGUAGCGGUGAAAUGCGUAGAGAUCUGAAGGAAUACCAGUGGCGAAGGCGGCCCCCUGGAC